rnacentral:rRNA from 1 species
CCCUUAGAUGUUCUGGGCCGCACGCGCGCUACACUGAUGCAUUCAACAAGCCUAGCCUUGACCGAGAGGUCCGGGUAAUCUUUGAAACUGCAUCGUGAUGGGGCUAGAUUAUUGCAAUUAUUAAUCUACAACGAGGAAUGCCUAGUAAGCGUGAUUCAUCAAAUCGCGUUGAUUACGUCCCUGCCCUUUGUACACACCGCCCGUCGCUCCUACCGAUUGAAUGUGUUGGUGAGGAGCUCGGAUUGGCAGCAGUUGGUGGUUCGCCACCGGCUAUUGCUGAGAAGUCCUCCAAACCGCCCCAUUUAGAGGAAGGAGAAGUCGUAACA